rnacentral:rRNA from 1 species
UACGGAGGGUGCAAGCGUUGCUCGGAAUUAUUGGGCGUAAAGGGUAGGUAGGUGGUCUUAUUUGUCUGGGGUGAAAGCCUUGAGCUUAACUCAAGAAGUGCCCCAGAAACGGUGAGACUAGAGUCCUGGAGAGGGUCGUGGAAUUCCCGGUGUAGCGGUGAAAUGCGUAGAGAUCGGGAGGAACACCAGAGGCGAAGGCGGCGACCUGGACAGGUACUGACACUCAACUACGAAAGCGUGGGGAGCAAACAGG